UACGGGGGGGGCGAGCGUUGUUCGGAAUUAUUGGGCGUAAAGGGCGCGUAGGCGGUGUGGCAAGUCAGGUGUGAAACCUCCAGGCUCAACUUGGAGCUUGCAUCUGAAACUGCCGUGCUAGAGUGUGGGAGAGGAGAGUGGAAUUCCUGGUGUAGCGGUGAAAUGCGUAGAUAUCGGGAGGAACACCAGUGGCGAAAGCGGCUACCUGGCCCAUUCUUGACGCUGAGGCGCGAAAGCUAGGGGAGCAAACGGG
rnacentral:rRNA from 1 species